GCAUCAGUGGUCGAAUGGUCAGACGUUCCCCUUCACUGAGCAAUUGCUCUCUUUAAAGGGAAAGGUGCGAGUUCGAAUCUCGCCUGAUGCACCA
rnacentral:tRNA from 1 species